rnacentral:misc_RNA from 1 species
GGAGGUUCAAGUCCUCCCAGGCCCACCAAUUUAUCUAUCCAUUUGCCUUUAUCCGUUUAUUUGCUGUUUUAUCGGUCCGUUUGUUAAGUGUUGGCAACAGUUUUUGUAAUGAUGAAAAACAGUCCUGCUUAUAUAAAGACCUACUUAUAAAAGGCUUGUUUUUAAAAUGUGACGCUUAUCCAUUCCGCUUAGGCAAGAGAAACUUCAGGCGGUUCAAACGCAGAACGCUUUGAAUUUUGUAAAACAAUUUGCGUUUUGAAGUGAUUCAAGUUCGUGAUUUCGACUUAAAAGUUUCGAAUGCUUUAUCCUUUUAG